CUCGUAGGCGGUUCAACAAGUCGGUCGUGAAAGCCCGGGCUCAACCCCGGGACGCCGGUCGAAACUGUUGUGACUAGGGUCCGGUAGAGGUGAGUGGAAUUCUCGGUGUAGCGGUGGAAUGCGCAGAUAUCGAGAGGAACACCAGUAGCGAAGGCGGCUCACUGGGCCGGUACCGACGCUGAGGAGCGAAAGCAUGGGGAGCAAACA
rnacentral:rRNA from 1 species